GACGAACGCUGGCGGCACGCUUAACACAUGCAAGUCGAGCGAGAACCAGUCCUUCGGGACUGGGGAAAGCGGCGAACGGGUGAGUAACACGUGAGUAAUCCACCCUCGGUACCGGAAUAGCCCGGGGAAACCCGGAUUAAUGCCGGAUGGCCCAUUUAUCCCUCGGGAUUUAAUGGAAAAGGUAGCUUAGGCCUCCGACCGGGGACGAGCUCGCGGCGGAUUAGCUUGUUGGCGGGGUAACGGCCCACCAAGGCGACGAUCCGUAGCUGGUCUGAGAGGACGAUCAGCCACACUGGGACUGAGACACGGCCCAGACUCCUACGGGAGGCAGCAGUGGGGAAUCUUGCGCAAUGGGCGAAAGCCUGACGCAGCGAUGCCGCGUGAGGGAAGAAGGCCUUCGGGUUGUAAACCUCUUUCAGGAGGGACGAAGCCACUCGGGUGAAUAGCCCAGAGGGUGACGGUACCUCCAGAAGAAGCCCCGGCUAACUACGUGCCAGCAGCCGCAGUAA
rnacentral:rRNA from 1 species